AGGCCUAACACAUGCAAGUCGAACGGUAGCACAGAGAGCUUGCUCUCGGGUGACGAGUGGCGGACGGGUGAGUAAUGUCUGGGAAACUGCCCGAUGGAGGGGGAUAACUACUGGAAACGGUAGCUAAUACCGCAUAACGUCGCAAGACCAAAGAGGGGGACCUUCGGGCCUCUUGCCAUCGGAUGUGCCCAGAUGGGAUUAGCUUGUAGGUGAGGUAACGGCUCACCUAGGCGACGAUCCCUAGCUGGUCUGAGAGGAUGACCAGCCACACUGGAACUGAGACACGGUC
rnacentral:rRNA from 1 species